rnacentral:rRNA from 1 species
UACGUAGGGACCAAGCGUUGUCCGGAAUCAUUGGGCGUAAAGAGCGUGUAGGCGGCUUGUUAAGUCUUGCGUGAAAUCUCGGGGCUCAACCCCGAGCGGUCGUGAGAAACUGGCAGGCUAGAGUGCGGGAGAGGAGAGUGGAAUUCCUGGUGUAGCGGUGAAAUGCGCAGAUAUCAGGAAGAACACCGGUGGCGAAGGCGGGUCUCUGGGCCAUUACUGACGCUGAGGAGCGAAAGCGUGGGGAGCGAACAGG